UGAGGAACAUGACCUUCGGCGGGGGAUAGCCGGCCCAACGGCCGGGUAAUACCGCGUACGACCUUUCGGGGACAUCCCUGGAUGGUGAAAGCAGCAAUGCGCCGAUGGAGUGCCUCGCGGCCUAUCAGCUAGUUGGUGAGGUAAUGGCUCACCAAGGCGACGACGGGUAGCUGGUCUGAGAGGAUGGCCAGCCACAUUGGGACCGAGACACGGCCCAGACUCCUACGGGAGCAG
rnacentral:rRNA from 1 species